GAUGAACGCUGGCGGCGUGCCUAAUACAUGCAAGUCGAGCGAACAGACGAGGAGCUUGCUCCUCUGACGUUAGCGGCGGACGGGUGAGUAACACGUGGAUAACCUACCUAUAAGACUGGGAUAACUUCGGGAAACCGGAGCUAAUACCGGAUAAUAUAUUGAACCGCAUGGUUCAAUAGUGAAAGACGGUUUUGCUGUCACUUAUAGAUGGAUCCGCGCCGCAUUAGCUAGUUGGUAAGGUAACGGCUUACCAAGGCAACGAUGCGUAGCCGACCUGAGAGGGUGAUCGGCCACACUGGAACUGAGACACGGUCCAGACUCCUAAGGGAGGCAGCAGUAGGGAACCGUCCGCAAAGGGCGAAAGCCUGACGGAGCAACGCCGCGUGAGUGAUGAAGGUCUUCGGAUCGUAAAACUCUGUUAUUAGGGAAGAACAAAUGUGUAAGUAACUAUGCACGUCUUGACGGUACCUAAUCAGAAAGCCACGGCUAACUACGUG
rnacentral:rRNA from 1 species